ensembl:lncRNA
CUCGGAUCAGUCCGCAUGUUCACGGUGCAUUUUUUAUGGAAUAUGUUGACCAAACCUGGAGAAGCGUCAGCUCAAGAUAUUAUUGUUGUCAUUGCUGUGGAUCUUUACCUGAUACACUGACUUGGCUCGGGACCAGCACUCCUGCUGUUGGACAGAAAGACAUCAACUUGCGAUAUGACUGCACUAUGCUGUUGCUGGUGACCACAGUUAAUUCUACAAGACACGCUGUGACACCAGGAGAGAUGAGUCCUCCGUCACAGAUGGUGUGGUCAGUGAAGAUGGUCGCCUGCAGGUUCAAGCUCAUUGCAUCUCCAACCCACUGCCACUGUACUUAAGGGAAGUUAAAGACUUUCUUCUGCACCUACAUUUGGAUCACCUCGAUCCAUGACAGUCAUUCAGGCAGUAAUGCCUGGACUGGAAACAAGCAUCCUUAAAAUAAUACAACAUUCCAGCUCCUGUGUUGGAAUGAAAAACAAAUGUGUUGUUUAAAUCAGAGACUGCACUUGUGACAGAACAAUAAAUAUUUUAUUUUGAUUAUAUAAGUAAUGUAAGUACAAAACAAACUUGUGGUAGGCCUAAACUUAUUUUCAGAAUAAUUACAUCUGAGACUUUGUUUCAUUGUAAGAUUAUAAUUGUUUGUUGUUCAGCAGAACAGUGUCCAGUAUGUUGGCUGUUAUACUUUUUUCCAUUUGAAAAUAAAAGUUGGGCUGAUUUUAACAUCAUUACAAAAAGUGUUGUUAAUUAUUUUUAAUCAUAUUCAGGUUACCACAAAUCGUCUUUAAUUUAGUUGAACUUGAAA